CCUACGGGAGGCAGCAGUGGGGAAUAUUGCGCAAUGGGCGAAAGCCUGACGCAGCGACGCCGCGUGAGGGAUGAAGGUCUUCGGAUCGUAAACCUCUGUCAGCAGGGAAGAACGGUCACUGUGCUAAUCAGCAGUGAAUUGACGGUACCUGCAAAGGAAGCACCGGCUAACUCCGUGCCAGCAGCCGCGGUAAUACGGAGGGUGCGAGCGUUAAUCGGAAUUACUGGGCGUAAAGCGCUCGUAGGCGGUAUGUCAAGUCAAGGGUGAAAUCCCCGCGCUCAACGUGGGAACUGCCUUUGAAACUGGCAGACUGGAGUGUGUGAGAGGAUAGUGGAAUGCCAGGUGUAGGAGUGAAAUCCGUAGAGAUCUGGAGGAACAUCAGUGGCGAAGGCGACUAUCUGGCACAUAACUGACGCUGAGGAGCGAAAGCGUGGGUAGCAAACAGGAUUAGAUACCCGGGUAGUC
rnacentral:rRNA from 1 species